UUUGAUUUUCCUGUUUUCUGGAAGAGUAAUGAAGAAUGUCGAAUGCUAAUGCUUUCUCUGGAUUUCAACAAUUGUUCUUCAAUCCAAAAAAUGGGAAACCUUUGAUUUGCUCAAACUUCUCUACAAAUUACAUGAAAGAAACCACUCUUCUUUCUUCUCUUUUCUCUCUCAUUUCCCCCUCCACCACCCAUUUCCUUCUUCCCAACCUCUAACUCAAACCCAAUGUCCCCAUUUCAAGAUUCCUCUCUCGAUCUUUCCCCAUCCCGUUCCGCCAUGGAAGUCCGGAUGGAAAUGGACUUUCCUUUUACCUGUCAUCCUUCCAAUCCAAUCAACUUUACAGGCAUUUGGCUCCUUCAUGACUUUCUUUCUUUUUCCCUCCCUCUCCUCCUCUUGCAUCCUUCCCUUGCCUCCAUUUUAACUCGCUUCCUCGCCUUCUUUCUUAAGCGCUGUGCUCAACCCUCCUUUAUUUCGCAGAUUCUUCUAACUCUCUUUCUCACGUUCUCUCUUUUUUAUUUGACUUGUAUACUUUUUGCCUCUCAUUGUUGCUUGUUCUGAUGAUAAUUCUAUGUUUUCCAUUGCCCUCUUUAAUGGGUCUUGUCUAGAUUUAUGAAUAUUUAUGUAGUUUAUUGUGGGCAAUUUUAUCUAAAUAGUUUAGUUUAAAUGGGUUUGCUUAUAUCUAUAUGAGUGUUAAGUUGCGAGGAGUGUUAUGAUGUUCUUAAGUUUCAUUUCUUCUUAAAAUCAGGAUUUGCUUGACUUGGGUAUGAGUAUUCAGUAUCCAAAGAAUGACCAAUGCAAUUUUCAAUACAAUAAUGGUUACAUAGUCUGUUGAACAUUCAAGUUGUACUUUAACUUGACAAUGCUGACUUCAUAUCUUAAUCUCUGGUUCUUCAUAGGUGCUUUGAUCAUACUUGAUACAAAUACUGCACACUGAAAAUUGUUGAGUCUUUAGAGGAAAACUAGCAUUUAUAGCUUGCUUGGUUUUGUUAACUGCCAUUCAUACCUUACUUUGUUUGUAGAGGAAAAUAAUUUAUGGUUGACAUCUUUUCCGUCCAAACAUGGAUUGCUGCUGGAUUUUAUUUUAUUUUAUUUUUGAGAUACUAAAGUCAUGGGAUAUGAAGCUAAAUGGUUUUAUUUUAAUCAGGCUGGCAUAAUAUUGGGACCUUCAGUUCUUGGCUACUAAUUAUUUGCAAGUAUAGUUUUCCCAUAGAGUGGAAUAAAUGUAUUAGAAACCUUUUCUAUUUUUGGUCUGAUGCUUUUUAUCUUUCAAAUUGGAGUGAAGAGGCACCCAAUGGUCAUUGUAAAAUCGGGUAAAAAAGCAUUGCCUGUUGGAAUUUUAAGCUUCAUUCUUCCUAACGCACUGACUAGACUCACUUCCUUUGUUCUCAAGAAUUUUCUCUCAUUGGACAAGGAGAUGUCAAGUGUGCUACCUCAUGUGGUGAUGCUACUAUCCAUGACGUCCUUUCCAGUGGUUGCUUGCUUUCUCGAUGAGUUUGAGAUUCUUAACUCAGAUAUUGGUCGUCUGACUUGUUCUUCUUCUAUGGGGCUCUUUGGGUUGUUCAAAAUAGCCCAGAAGGAAAACCUGUGAAGGAAAUUUAUAUAUAUGCAGUUUUUGUUGCAUUGCUGAUUUGUGGACUCUUGGGUGAGCUACCGAUCUAACGGCUGUUUACACAUCAUUUGUUUUGGGUUUGGUCAUUCCAGAUGGUCCACCCUUAGGAGCUGCACUAACAGAUAUGCUUGAUUGCUUUGUAUCAGUAUUGCUCAUGCCAAUAUUCUUCAUUGCUUGUGGAUUAAGAAUGAAUGUUUUUUCUAUACAGAAUUUGGAGAAUGUGGGUGUAAUUCACCUAGUUGUUUUUGUUUCACUCUUUGGAAAGGUUGUGAGGAGCAUACUGCCUUCUCUUAUCUGUAGGAUGCAUUUCGAGAUGCACUCACUCUCGGACUUAUUAUGAACUGCAAAGGCAUUGAACUUGUAAUCUUGAUUAGCUGGAAAGUACAGAAUGUCAUGAAUGAUGAAAGCUUUACCAUUAUGAUUUAUUUCACCUCUUAUCAAGGCCAUAUAUAAUCCUUCGAGGAGGUUUCUUGCUUACAAACGGAGGACUAUCUUACAUCUUAGAAAUGAUGAAGAACUUCGAAUACUUGCUUGCAUCCAUGGAUUAGAGAAUGCCCAGGCAAUUCUAGAUCUCCUUUUGGUAUCAAAUCCGACCCAUCAGAGCCACAUUAAUUUGAUUGUCCUACAUCAUAUUAAGCUUGCAGGCCGUUUUUCUCCACUUUUAAUUCCUCAUCAGCCUCGUGAAAGGUCUUUUUCAUGUAAGACACUGUCGGAACAGAUAUUCAGUGCUUUUAGAAGGCUUGAAGGACAUUUCAGUGACCGUAUCAUAAUAACUUGCUACGAAGGUAUUUCACCAUACCCAACCAUGUACAAUGAUGUAUGCUCAUUAGCACUUGACAAGAGAACGACCUUUAUUGUCAUCCCUUUCCAUAGGCAACAUAUGGCUGGCGAAGGGUUAAAAUCAUCUCAUGCUAUGAGACGUUAUACAAUAAUGUACUUGAGAAGGCACCUUGUACUGUUGGAGUUUUAAUUGAUAAUGGGAAUGUCAGGUCUUCCCAUAAUUUUUCGUGUCUGGCAUUCCAUCGAGUGGUAGUGCUCUUUUUUGGUGGUGCCGAUGAUUGAGAGGCAUUAGCAUUUGCAACACGAGUGUCAGAACAGGAUAGAAUAAUGGUCACUCUGUUUCAUUUCUCGUCUUCGGAAGAGAUUGUUGGGAGUACAGCUAGCGGCAAGAUGCUUGAUACAAAGUUAUUGAGUGAAUUUAAGCUCAAAACCUCUCAAAAUAACCGAAUAUCUUGCCAAUAUAAGGUGGUCAUGGAUGGCGGGGAUAUAGAUUUCUGUAUCUCUUCAAAAUGCUUAUGACCUUGUAAUGAUUGGAAGGCGACAUGCCGAAUCAUGGUUGAUGUCUGAUGUUAGGAAAUCUAACGAAUGGCAGGGCGAUUUGGGGGCUGUUGGAGACUUUCUUGCUUCAUUCGACCAUGAGUGUGGACAUCUAUACUUGUGGUUCAACAGCAGACAGAAUUAUGGGGACUGCGAGACCCCAAAGAUUCGACACGUUUGAGAAGAGUGAAAAUAUAAGCAGUUUUUUAGGACCUUAAUAUCAACUGCAAUGAUAUCUGACUUAUUUUAUUGCAUAGACAUUGUCCCUCCAUCAGUAUAUAGUUCAGAGUUGGGCCUCUACUUUUGGUUCCAGUUUUUCCUUCUCUUGAUAUGUUAACAUAAUGCAGAGAACAUCUUAAUUAAGAUUGGGAAAGAUAUUGGAAGUUAAAACUCUACAACCUCGUGUUCUUAAUUCUGAUUGGGAAAGAUAUUGGAAGUUAAAACCUUACAACCUCAUUGAUCAACAUUGACUUUUUACCUAGAUAUAGUCUCGAAAAAGUCAAAAUAUAAAUAAGCAGAACCUGAAUCAUCUGGCUGAUGUACACUUUGGGUACAUACACAAUGAUCGAAAUCAUUCAAAGAAAACCAUUAAUUUGCUAGCAAGGAUCAGCUUCAUAAAUCAACAAAUGAUAUAUGUCAAAGGCUCCUCUUGACUUAAACAAGUUCAUCAACCGUCGAAAGUAAGGACUACAAGUAUCGUGGUUGAACGACAUCGUUGUCAUGAACUUUUAUUCAUCUGCUUGCACUUGCAGAGAGCAUCGGUGACCAAGUUUAAACAGUGACCAAGUUUAAACAGAUAUGUUCCUUCUUCCUUUACAUGUAGUUAGUAAGGUUAACCAUGCCAAGAUAUUGAAAUGCCUGAACUGAGGAUAUGAUAUAUUAUUAUUCAUCCAUCUAGAUAAAUGUAGUUUUUGUACAUGGAGAAUAUGGAUAAAGUAGUGAUUUUGUUGCUUCGGAAACUGUGAAAAAGAUGACCAUUGGUUGAAUUUGAGCUGAAGGUGUAAAAGGUUAAACAGGGAAAGGAAGGGAAGAGUAUGUCUUCAAUAUGGGGAAGACUCUCCCAAUUUCUCAGGGGAUUGAAGUAUUAAUCUGUAAACCCAGAUCCUCUUUAUCCUCAUCAAUGCUUUUUUUUUCUUUUCUUUUUUUUUUUUGGGAAUUUUCAAUGGCUGAACAUUACAUGUGCACUCUUUUCAAUGAUCUAGUGUUGUGAACAUUAAGCUUUUGCAAGACUCACAUGCAUGUACUGUUUAGAUUUACUCCCAAUCUUACUUUUAGCUAAUGGAUUAGUUGAUUUAAUAUCA